rnacentral:tRNA from 1 species
CAGAGUGUAGUUUAAUAAAUAAUAAUUUUGGAGAUUAUAGUAGGCUACUGUCCACUCUGA